rnacentral:tRNA from 1 species
GCCUCGGUAGCUCAACGGUAGAGCAUCUGCUUCGUAAGCAGGUGGUUGUGGGUUCGAAUCCCAUCCGAGGCU